UCCUGAUGGGGACACGGGCGCGUCAUCUAGCCGGUCCGUCCGCUGACUGCCGCAAACGGCGACGAGAAGAGAAGUGACUGCGCGCUAUUAUUCCGCGGCGCUCCUCUCCAGACUCCGUGCACGCGCGCUCCAAGCCCCCCCCGCUUCGUCGUCGGUCUGCGCAUCCUCAUCCACCGAACCCUAGCGGCUAGCGCCUAGCGGUACCGCAGAACGGAGGAGAACUCCACCCAUUGCAAGUCCGCUUCAGUUCCGCUCCUCCCGCUUCUUAUCCUAGCCAGUAGCCAUGGAUGAAAUCAUGAAGGUGUUCGAUCAUACCGUCCGGGAGAUAAAGAGAGAGGUCAAUCUCAAGGUGCUCAAGGUGCCAGAAAUCGAGCAGAAGGUUCUUGACGCGACCAGCGAUGAGCCGUGGGGGCCUCACGGUUCCGACUUGGCGGACAUCGCCCGUGCCACCAACAAAUUUGGCGAAUGUGAAAUAAUCAUGAAAGUAUUGUUGCAACGGCUGGGGGCCACCGAUGUGGAUUGGCGUCACCUGUAUAAGACACUGGCUGUUAUUGAGUAUCUUCUUGCUAAUGGCACUCAGCGCUCAGUCGGUGAAAUUAUUGACAACAGCUCAGGAAUCGCGGAACUUACAAGAUUCAAAUUUGUGGAGCCUAACGGAAAAGAUGUUGGGCUCAACGUGCGCAAAAAGGCUGAAACUGUUCUAGCAAUUGUUGAUGACAGGCUGAAACUUCAACAAGUCAGGGAGAAGGCUGCUGCUACAAGGGACAAGUAUUUGGGUUUAUCGUCAACUGGAUUAACGUACAAAUCAAGCGCAGCAGCAUUUGGCAAUGGCAGCUACUCCUCUGGUCGUCCCUAUGGGAGCACAGGCGGCUCAAGAGAAUCUGCUUCAUUCAAGGACAGCUAUACCAAAACAGAAUGGAGCAAGAGCCCUAAAGACCUAGUGUCAAGGUACAGCAGCACUACGCAAAGGUCAAAAGAAACUACAAACAGCGCAAAUAGCUAUAAAUCCAUAAAGAGAGGCUCCAAAUCAUCUUUGAGUGCCACAUCUGGAGUUCCAAGUUCACAGAAAGGGGAAAACGAAGAUGAUGGUUACGACUUCAACCCACGAGGAUCUUCUGCAUCCGAUGGAUUAGCUAACGUGAGCUCUAAUCAUGUCGAUCUCUUUGGUCCAAGCUUAAUGGGCAACCUUCUUGACACUGCUGCUGAGCCGCAAGUUGAUUUAUUUGCGGACGCAGAUUUCCAGUCAGUCAAUACUUCAUUGGAGGUGUCAACUGGUUCUCACGCUCAGGACAACAUCGAUCUAUUUGCUGGCAGAUCGUCUUUUGGUGGCUCAGUGACUUCAGAGCAUAAUUUGUCUUCCCCUGCACAUCCUUUGGCUUCUUCUCUUAAUUCCUUCCAGCCAUCUUUUGCCACAUCAAUUCCUUCAGACAGAGAGUUCACUGCGCGUGACACUCCAAGCAAACCUUCGGAAAGAAAGCCUCCCACACCUUAACAUUUAAGCAACACAGCUUUCGAGCCGUUCGCUGCAAUUGCACUGAAGAAUUUUGAUGGGUCGGACUCUUUUGGUGCAUUUUCUUCAAGUACAGGCUCAUCUGUUACUGAAUUGACACAUGAUUCUGCUGGAGGCAACAAAAAUUCUGAUCGUACUCCUUUGGAGGAGCUGAAUCUUGGUGCCUUCACUUUACGGAAGGAAUCACCCACAACAGCUGCCACCGAAUCCAUGAACAAGUCACCCACAGAGCAUGAGCAGGCUUCUAUGCCAGCAUCAAGACCGGUUACGAGGAAAGAGACCUUUCAGAUCAAAUCAGGCAUAUGGGCUCACUUUUCUAGCCGUGGGUUGAUUGAUUUGAGUAUAACUGCCCCAAAGAAGGUCGAUCUUUCAGAUGCCGGGGUUGUUGGGCGUCUGAGCAACAGGUCGGAGGCGGGGGCGACAAUGGGCAUCGGUCCUGAUUUUCCAUCUUCGGCAGGACCAACCGGUGGAGGGGGCUAUUUCCAGCAGCGGCAAUCUGGAAACUUUUAAAGCGAUCCUUAGUCAGGGUUUUGGCAGUGGCCAUGCUGAUAAAAACACCCAUGGUCUCUGAUCUGUUGGGGCAUGUGCAACCUCGUACCUGCACAUGUAGGUGUAGAUGUAUUGCAGAACUAUCAUACUUGUCCUAGAGGCCCCAUGAUUUUGUAUGUGUAUUACAAAGUAAACAUAGUUUGUGUGCGUGAGUAAAUAAAACUGAUGCGGUGAUGAGAACGGUGCAAAAGUCUGCAGAAUAACCAAAA